rnacentral:rRNA from 1 species
AACGUAGGGGGCGAGCGUUGUCCGGAAUUACUGGGCGUAAAGGGCGCGUAGGCGGUUCUUUAAGUCAGAGGUGAAAACUGUCGGCUCAACCGGCAGCCUGCCUUUGAAACUGGAGGACUUGAGGGCAGGAGAGGGGAGUGGAAUUCCCAGUGUAGCGGUGAAAUGCGUAGAUAUCGGGAGGAACACCAGUGGCGAAGGCGACUCUCUGGUCUGACCCUGACGCUGAGGCGCGAAAGCGUGGGGAGCAAACAGGAUUAGAUACCCGGGUAGUCC